UACGUAGGGCGCGAGCGUUGUCCGGAAUUACUGGGCGUAAAGCGCGCGUAGGCGGUCUUUUGCGUAGGCGGUGAAAGCCCCCGGCUCACCCGGGGGAGGUCCGUCUAAACGGGGAGACUCGAGGGCGGUAGGGGCUGGCGGAACGCCCGGAGUAGCGGUGAAAUGCGUUGAGAUCGGGCAGAACACCAGUGGCGAAGGCGGCCGGCUGGGCCGUUCCUGACGCUGAGAGACGAAAGCUAGGGGAGCGAAUGGG
rnacentral:rRNA from 1 species